AUGAUGGACGAUGUUGACAAGUUUAAUGUGAUUUCCCUUGUCAUCAAAGUUUCAUUAUUUUUCUCUCUCCCAAAUCUUGAUUCAGACAACAAUGCCCCAUCGCUGCAGAUCCAAGUCCCCAUUAUCUCUGCUUUUCAUUCUUCCAUUCCACCACAAUCUCAACAAAAUCACUUUUCGAUUUCAAUGACUCUCACUUUCGCUUUUCUACAUCGGGAAGAUGCCGAUCGUGUGUCUCUGUGA